rnacentral:snoRNA from 1 species
UUAAAUGAUGAGAAAAAUAUUUACACAGACCUGUACUGACCCAUUUCAUGGGGAUGCAGAGAACAAAUUAUUGCCUUUUUAUCUGUAC